rnacentral:sRNA from 2 species
UCAGCACCUCGUUAAGCGAGGCUCCUGCGCGAACACAGGCCACUGAUCCGACGACGUCGAGAGACGCCCAGGAUCAGGACAGAUCGCUUCGGACUAAGGGGCGAUCCCAGGUGGCUUCCCGGAUCGGGAUACGUCGCGCAGUGCCGAAGCUCUGACGAGAGGGGUGCCCC